rnacentral:lncRNA from 1 species
AGACUACUGGGUUAGCUUAAAUAUUUAAGAUAAGUGAAGACUAAGCUGUCAUUAAUGUCUUAACAAUUUUUGACACCACGAAAUUAAAGAACGGAUACAUUCUUUCCACACACUCAGAACAUCAGCUUGCAAGAAAUGAUGAAGCUUAGUGUAGAAUCAUGGACAACCACUGAACUCAGGUAGUCACCAGCAAAACACAGGAAACCACCACAGCUUUGCCAGCUGGCUUGGGACUUUUCAUUCCCUUCACCUUGGAGAGAAGAGUGUGCUCUGAUAUGAAUGAAGAUACAGGAUCAUUGUGGUCUGUUUUCCCCAUUCUUUGAGCCACCCCAAUGCAGGUACCAAGAGAAGAAACCUUUCUCUCUGCCCUUGAAAGAGUAAUAGGUAAAAUUGGACCUAUUGAAAUAUCAGACUUUGUCUUGUGGAUGGAUCGCUGCCAUCGGUGCAGGGUGAAUGGAAGAAAUAUCCUCCAAACAAAGGAUUUCGUAGGAUGCAAAUAUACAGUGGGACGGUGGCCUUUGACUGGCAUACUCCAAGAGACACUGCUUCUGUUAUCUCUAGUCCAAGAAAUUGUGAUGUCCAGUUUUGAACACUGAACUGCAGCUCAAGUAUUUCUCUCACUGUGUGAAUAGGAGGUGCUUGAGCUCCCAGUUAAAGCAGCUUUCCUCUACCUGGCAGCUACAAAAGCCUGGAGAUACUGCUGUUGCCUUGUGCAAUCAUAUAAGUGCUUCUAAUUAGAAGAAGAGUUUCUUUUCCCCACUUGGAAGAUCAAGGCUAGACUUCUUUAUUACUUUUAAUUUGUUGAGAAAAGGCAUGUAGCAUCAUCUGGAUGAAACUGACCAUCUUCUGUACAAUUAAAUUGGUCGAAAAUUAAAGGUCUGAAACCAGAAGCCUAGACUGAAAAUCAGUGCUGCGGGAUAUGCUGGAGACACAGGAUGGCUACAGCAGAGAUUAAUAUUUGUAAAUGAAGAACUGUAGAAGAGACUUAACUGUUGGUAGUCCGAGAAAAAGACUGAGUAACAGUUAAAGGGAAAUUAUCAGAUAUGACUCUUUAAGCAUAGCCAAAUGAAGAAAUACUGAUUUCAUUAAAUGGGAAACCUCGGAAGUACCUGCAUGCCCUACUACAGCCCGUCAUGUAAAGUUUAUGUGGAAACCUAUAUGGUAGAAUGCAGAAUCAGUUCUGAGUUGCUUUCUGUCAUGUUUUUCAUAUCUUUGAUUGCUCUAAUUCUUGUUCUAAAACUCAAACAAAAAACCAUUAUCAGUUAUCUUGUAGAAAAGUGCUCCUCUUGCCACGCAAAGAUGUUUUAUGAUUAUGUAUUGCACAUCUCUCACAUUCAUUUAGCGCAGUAAACAAUACAAAGACAGCUUGUAGGAAAUGAAUCCUCUCUGCAUUAUCUUAUUAUCAGAAGCUGCAUGUGUUUCCUCUAGCAGAAAGAGUGCAGGAAUUAUUACGUUUAUACAUUGAAUUAUAAUAUUAAAUCACCACACAAGAGGCGAAUAAUUGGCCUCCUCGAGCCCUCCCCCCCCCCAUUUCCAGGUUCUGUGUUUAGAUUUCAGUAUUCAAUAAACUAGUGAAUUUCUCCGCUAAAAGCUGAAUG